GGCUAUAUAGUUCAGUGGCAGAGUGUCUGCUUUGCAUGCCGAAGGUCCCUGAUUCAAUCCCCGGCAUCUCUAGGGCUG